AUUGAACGCUGGCGGCAUGCCUUACACAUGCAAGUCGAACGGCAGCACGGGAGCAAUCCUGGUGGCGAGUGGCGAACGGGUGAGUAAUAUAUCGGAACGUGCCCAGUCGUGGGGGAUAACGUAGCGAAAGCUACGCUAAUACCGCAUACGAUCUAUGGAUGAAAGCGGGGGAUCGCAAGACCUCGCGCGAUUGGAGCGGCCGAUAUCAGAUUAGGUAGUUGGUGAGGUAAAGGCUCACCAAGGCGACGAUCCGUAACUGGUCUGAGAGGAUGAUCAGUCACACUGGAACUGAGACACGGUCCAGACUCCUACGGGAGGCAGCAGUGGGGAAUAUUGGACAAUGGGCGAAAGCCUGAUCCAGCCAUGCCGCGUGUGUGAAGAAGGUCUUCGGAUUGUAAAGCACUUUAAGUUGGGAGGAAGGGUAGUAACCUAAUACGUUGCUACUUUGACGUUACCGACAGAAUAAGCACCGGCUAACUUCGUG
rnacentral:rRNA from 1 species